UACGAAGGGGGCUAGCGUUGUUCGGAAUCACUGGGCGUAAAGCGCGUGUAGGCGGAUUGUUAAGUCGGGGGUGAAAUCCUGAGGCUCAACCUCAGAGCUGCCUUCGAUACUGGCGAUCUUGAGUCCGGGAGAGGUGAGUGGAACUCCUAGUGUAGAGGUGAAAUUCGUAGAUAUUAGGAAGAACACCAGUGGCGAAGGCGGCUCACUGGCCCGGAACUGACGCUGAAACGCGAAAGCGUGGGGAGCAAACAGG
rnacentral:misc_RNA from 1 species